UACGAAGGGGGCUAGCGUUGUUCGGAAUUACUGGGCGUAAAGCGUGCGUAGGCGGUUAUUCAAGUCAGGGGUGAAAGCCUGGAGCUCAACUCCAGAUCUGCCCUUGAAACUAGAUAACUAGAAUCUUGGAGAGGUGAGUGGAAUUCCGAGUGUAGAGGUGAAAUUCGUAGAUAUUCGGAAGAACACCAGUGGCGAAGGCGACUCACUGGACAAGUAUUGACGCUGAGGCACGAAAGCGUGGGGAGCAAACAGG
rnacentral:rRNA from 1 species